rnacentral:rRNA from 1 species
UAGCGGCGGACGGGUGAGUAACACGUGGAUAACCUACCUAUAAGACUGGGAUAACUUCGGGAAACCGGAGCUAAUACCGGAUAAUAUUUUGAACCGCAUGGUUCAAAAGUGAAAGACGGUCUUGCUGUCACUUAUAGAUGGAUCCGCGCUGCAUUAGCUAGUUGGUAAGGUAACGGCUUACCAAGGCAACGAUGCAUAGCCGACCUGAGAGGGUGAUCGGCCACACUGGAACUGAGACACGGUCCAGACUCCUACGGGAGGCAGCAGUAGGGAAUCUUCCGCAAUGGGCGAAAGCCUGACGGAGCAACGCCGCGUGAGUGAUGAAGGUCUUCGGAUCGUAAAACUCUGUUAUUAGGGAAGAACAUAUGUGUAAGUAACUGUGCACAUCUUGACGGUACCUAAUCAGAAAGCCACGGCUAACUACGUGCCAGCAGCCGCGGUAAUACGUAGGUGGCAAGCGUUAUCCGGAAAUUAUUGGGCGUAAAGCGCGCGUAGGCGGUUUUUUAAGUCUGAUGUGAAAGCCCACGGCUCAACCGUGGAGGGUCAUUGGAAACUGGAAAACUUGAGUGCAGAAGAGGAAAGUGGAAUUCCAUGUGUAGCGGUGAAAUGCGCAGAGAUAUGGAGGAACACCAGUGGCGAAGGCGACUUUCUGGUCUGUAACUGACGCUGAUGUGCGAAAGCGUGGGGAUCAAACAGGAUUAGAUACCCUGGUAGUCCACGCCGUAAACGAUGAGUGCUAAGUGUUAGGGGGUUUCCGCCCCUUAGUGCUGCAGCUAACGCAUUAAGCACUCCGCCUGGGGAGUACGACCGCAAGGUUGAAACUCAAAGGAAUUGACGGGGACCCGCACAAGCGGUGGAGCAUGUGGUUUAAUUCGAAGCAACGCGAAGAACCUUACCAAAUCUUGACAUCCUUUGACAACUCUAGAGAUAGAGCCUUCCCCUUCGGGGGACAAAGUGACAGGUGGUGCAUGGUUGUCGUCAGCUCGUGUCGUGAGAUGUUGGGUUAAGUCCCGCAACGAGCGCAACCCUUAAGCUUAGUUGCCAUCAUUAAGUUGGGCACUCUAAGUUGACUGCCGGUGACAAACCGGAGGAAGGUGGGGAUGACGUCAAAUCAUCAUGCCCCUUAUGAUUUGGGCUACACACGUGCUACAAUGGACAAUACAAAGGGCAGCGAAACCGCGAGGUCAAGCAAAUCCCAUAAAGUUGUUCUCAGUUCGG